rnacentral:lncRNA from 1 species
AGGGAAUUCCUUUCAAUCCAUGGAACAGUGUGUGCGUUAGGCGAUAGCAAGGCCGUCGGACAAUCAUGAUGCUAUUUUCUUAUUUGAAAUCAGAAUGCUACUAGGACAUUAUUAAUUUUGGAAAAUCAGAUCAAACAGGAGAUAUGAUUGGUACCUGGUGAUACAAUUGGAGAAAGGGAUAUGAUAUGUCUGGCAAUGGUUUAGGAAGGUAUUCACUUAUCCGAAACAAAAGCAUAGGUAUGUUCAAGCAAGGAACUGAGCAUGGCAGUUAGGUGGUGGAGUGUCUGUCCUUGAAUUGUACAUAUUUUUUUCUCUGAAAGAAAUUCACUGCGUAGAUCAUUCUAGCUAUUCUCGAUGUUUUUAUCUGUUCCAAUCCAAAUUUGAUAUGCCAGUUGCUUGAAAUUCUUGAGACACUUUGCCCUUUGGAGUAGCGGCUUACAGUUAUAAAGAUACCUAUCUUCUGAAUUUGUAUUUAGCCUAUGGAUUAUAGUGCAUUUAUCUUGCCAUUUUUAUUUAGCCUAUGUGCAUUCGUUGUAGUCCCAGCUUCCAUGUUAUGAUGUGCUUGCUUCAAAAGAAUUGUGUGAAUUUAUGUCACCAAAUCAAAGAUAGCCAGUGAUUUUUUGUGAUACACUUUGAUGUAUACUUUCCAAACACGCUUGUUGUAUUUAAGACUUAAUAGUCUACCAAAUCCUGGCAAAAAUAAUAAUCUUAGUUUGAUGCGAUGCGGAACAGUAGCUGCAGGGUUUGGUCUUCCGUCUUAUUUCUUUAUACAUUUGAUUUGUAUUUGUUCCGGAUACAAUUGGUGUUCAGAUUGUUAGGGACGAGGAUCAUCAGUGGCCAUGCAGGAGCAACAACAGGUGAUCAUGCCUAGUUCGUGAAUUUAUUCUCCUAGCUUGGAGGCUUCCUGCUCAAGGUGCAUGCUUCCUUCCUUUCCCCUCUUUUUUGGCAAUUACUUCCUUUCCCCUCUGAUUUGACUUCAUUUGCCUUCUUGUGUGAAGUUGUGUACUUCAAGUGUACAAAGCAGUAUCGUGUUGAGAUUCAGGAAAAUUGCUAAUUUAUAUUAGUAAUUAUGUAAUCAUGUACUAUGAACUUCCUCAAAUUAGCCGGUUAGUCUCGUGUGGACAUUUAUUUGCUGGUGAGGGAAGCAGUUUAACAUGUGUGUUUUCCCUAUGUUGGCAUCUGCUUCCUCAGAUAAUUGAUAUUAGUUAUCCACUUGCAGUAUAAAUAAUCUCUCUAAUCAGUAACGUUGUUAUUGUAAAUGGUCCCUUUUUUUUGCAUAUUGCUAUUGUGAGUAAUAUUACACCCAAAGAAUAAUAUUGAUAUAUCUCUAAUUUCUUCGUUGCAACAAUGGAUGGUUCUGCUUUAGGUCCUAUAGCUUUUUUUGAAGCUGUAGUUCCUUUAGCCUUUUGGUGUCAUGUCUUUCUGACUAUUGUAGCUGUACAAUUUGACAAUAUAUGCUCAAAUGUUAUGUGUUCUUUACCUUUAGAUUUAUCACUCCAGGUGAAGGGAUUAUCGAUCAUAUAAAUCCCGGUAGACUACCCGCCCACCUGAGGCACUUGCCAUCGCUGUAGCACUUACGGAUGUGCUUCUUUAGUGUGCCUUCUCUCAUCUCACAGUAAAUUGUUUUGUUGUUCUAAAUAAUUGCUGCAGGAGGGAGCAGCAGGCAUAGAAGAAAUCCCAAGUCAAUUUUGCUCAGCUGUAGCAUCUUCCACUGACAAUAAGUCUGCACAGCAGCCUGGUGAGGUUUGUUCUUGCAUUUAAAAACAUAAGUCUUUCAGUUGCUCUCUACUCGCUGGUAAAAAAGCAUAGUGAAUUUCCUUUAUAAAUACCCAGCUGAAGAAUACCUUAGUUAAAUCAAUCAAUAGUGAGUUGUAUUACUAGAGAGUAGAGACGUAAGAAAACGCCCUUAGGUGUGACACUCUACGUGGUUACCUUCUUAGUCCCAACUAUUAACAUCAUACUGAGAUCACACUUUGCCAAGCGGAAUGUUUGUUUCUAUGUACUUCUGGAUGCUAAUUUAUCGUUCUUGAUUUUCAUGGGGAUAUUCCUUCAUUAUUUGGUUACCUGUCAAUGCUCGCUCCUAUUUCCCACCUUGUGCUUUGACUUCUUGCAUUUUUUUCGUCUAAGUUAUUAGGCUACUGCUGCCUGGUUUGCGCAUGAUGAACCACUAAUUAUGAUGCACUGCUGGCCGGUCUGCCUUUUUUAUGCUUUUUUAGUGACAACAUUCAGACUUAAUGUUUAUUACUUCAUUUCAGAGUUUUAAAUUAAGACACGCGGUCAAUUUAUAUGGUCUUCUGAAGUUUCACCUUCCCUUUGUCAUAUUGGUUUGAUCAAAUCAAUGGGAAGCCGGCAUUACUUUCAU